AAAAACCCUAAUCACAAUUACUUUUUCAACAGCUUGAUUUGUUAAGCUUUACUUGCUAUUUUAUACAAUGGCAAGCCCUAAAAUCAAUUAUUUUUAUUUUAUUUCUACAAAAGGGUAAAAACGAGAGAUUGAAAGAAAAUUGGAGUCAACAUUGUCAGGCACUAUCAAAAUACCAACAAAUUAUUCCUUUUUUGUUCCUGGUGGAUACAACCAGAAGCAGCUGCACUUGCAACUGCAACUGCUCGCGUACGCACGUGCCAUGAACAACUCCCACACGAGUGGAAGACCCCUCGAUCAAAACUUUCACGCGCACGCUCUUCAGGAAGAGAGAAAAGGCAGAAAUGGAGAGAGUGCGAGCGAGAGAGGGCCUCUCUCCGUCGCGCAGAGCUUGAAGCAAUUCUUGCAUUGAUUGUAUCUCUGGUUGCUCCUCUCGACCAUCAUCGUUCCACUCGGUAAGCCCAAAUUCUCUUCUUCUUUCUUUUUUGUUUUUUGUCAUAUAAUUUUGGUCAUGUCUUUUGUUUUUCUCGUUGAAUUAUGCCUUCUCAGUUGGGCCAAUUAGGUUUAAGCCUACCAACUAGUUUCUUAUCAAACUCCUCUUUCUCCAAUGCUUUCUCUAGCGUUUGAU
rnacentral:lncRNA from 1 species